rnacentral:rRNA from 1 species
UACGUAGGGGCCAAGCGUUGUCCGGAUUUAUUGGGCGUAAAGAGCUCGUAGGCGGUUGGGUAAGUCGGGUGUGAAAACUCCAGGCUCAACUUGGAGAUGCCACCCGAUACUGCUCUGACUUGAGUUCGGUAGGGGAGUGGGGAAUUCCUGGUGUAGCGGUGAAAUGCGCAGAUAUCAGGAGGAACACCGGUGGCGAAGGCGCCACUCUGGGCCGAUACUGACGCUGAGGAGCGAAAGCGUGGGGAGCGAACAGG